rnacentral:tRNA from 1 species
AAUGGGGUCGGGCUAAGGGGCUGUGGAAUUCAUACUUCCGAGAUUUUGCUUCAUUU